GGGAGCGACUUGGCUUCGACAGGAGUAAGUCUGCUUAGAUGGCAUGUCGCUUUGGACAAAGCGUAAAAAGUCCAAAUUAAAAUUAAACGCAAAUAACGUUAAAUUCGCUCCUGCUUACGCUAAAGCUGCGUAAGUUCAGUUGAGCCUGAAAUUUAAGUCAUACUAUCUAGCUUAAUUUUCGGUCAUUUUUGAUAGUGUAGCCUUGCGUUUGACAAGCGUUGAGGUGAAAUAAAGUCUUAGCCUUGCUUUUGAGUUUUGGAAGAUGAGCGAAGUAGGGUGAAGUAGUCAUCUUUGCUAAACAUGUAGAAGUCUUUGUGGGGUUAUUUUUGGACAGGGGUUCAAUUCCCCUCGCUUCCACCA
rnacentral:tmRNA from 1 species